UACGUAGGGACCGAGCGUUGUCCGGAUUCAUUGGGCGUAAAGAGCUCGUAGGCGGCCACUCAAGUCGAAUGUGAAACCUCGAGGCUUAACCUCGAGCCUGCAUUCGAUACUGGGCGGCUAGAGUCUGGUAGGGGAUCUGGAAUUCCUGGUGUAGCGGUGGAAUGCGCAGAUAUCAGGAGGAACACCAAUAGCGAAGGCAGCUCGCUGGGACGUUACUGACACUGAGGCGCGAAAGCGUGGGGAGCGAACAGG
rnacentral:rRNA from 1 species